CAGUAUGUCCAGCUAAAUUUGAAUUUCUUAUAAGCAAAUAAUUUUUUAGUGUAAGCAUACUUGUACAAUAUUUGGGACAUACUUACACUAAAAUAUUAUUCAUCGUGUAUCCAAGAUUCAAAUUUAAUUUGGUGUCCUGUA
ensembl:miRNA